UACAGAGGUCUCAAGCGUUGUUCGGAUUCAUUGGGCGUAAAGGGUGCGUAGGCGGCGCGGUAAGUCGGGUGUGAAAUCUCGGGGCUUAACUCCGAAACUGCAUUCGAUACUGCCGUGCUUGAGGACUGGAGAGGUGAGUGGAAUUCCUGGUGUAGCGGUGAAAUGCGCAGAUAUCAGGAGGAACACCAAUGGCGAAGGCAGCUCACUGGGACGGUACUGACGCUGAGACGCGAAAGCGUGGGGAGCAAACAGG
rnacentral:rRNA from 1 species